AGCACAGCCAAAGGGCGGGUUUGAAUCACCUCUGAAAUUAUUGUUUGGAUGGGUGUGAUCACGCACACAUACACUCAAGGAUGUACAUACAUAGUGAUUAUACUGCCCUCCCACCCCCUCAAUUCCUGAAAAUAAAAUACUAUCUAUGCCCCUGGCAAGAGGUUUUCAUUAACGUAGCCUGACAAAUCAGAGCCAUUGUAACUUAUUGCUCUGAAAGGAACCUUGAGCGGGUCUUAAUUCUUCGUUCAGGAUGGCAAUGUGGGCAUCAUACUUGUGCGUAUGAGUCGACAUGUUGUAAGCUGCUUCACAACUUAUUUGCCCAUGCAUUGUUUAUAGCAGCACCAGGGUGUCGCAUCAAACCCCAA
rnacentral:lncRNA from 1 species